rfam:Acetobacterium woodii DSM 1030, complete genome.
AAUAAAAAAGCGAACAUAUGGUGCCUUAGUGUUAAGGAGAAUAGGGAAUCAGGUGAAAGUCCUGAACGAACCCAUCACUGUAAGGGCGGAGCAAACCACAAUAACCACUGUUUUUAAUGGGAAGGUGUGGCAAGCGUUGAACCCCAAGUCAGGAGACCUGCCUAUGGAUCGGUUAUGUA